UGCAUAUUUUCCAGAAAGCAAUAUCAACUUCAAAUGCUUACAAUGAUCAAUUCAGGUUGUUGAAAUUGACGGUGGGAGUGGAUCUGCUGCUUCUUUGACAGAUCUGUUGAAACAUGACAAGGUUCUGAGCAAGAAGCCCCCUGCUCCUCACCGAGUUGUGCCUGAUUAUCUGUUGAAUGCAACAACUAAAGAAGCCAGCAAGAGAGUUAAGCUUGCCAACCUUGGUCGCCGUGGAUUCAAGAAAAAAUUCAAGGAAGACAAUUAAGGACCCCCUUAAGUCUUUCAGUGCUCAGCUUAUUUCCUGGAGGCCUACACCCUAGUGAGGAAGGGUGAUCUCUUGAUUGUGAGAGGAGGAAUGAGGAGUGUCGAGUUCAAGGUUAUUGAGACUGAUCCUUCUUGAGUAUUGUGUUGUUGCUCCAAACACUGAAAUAUUUCCAAUAGGGUUUACUAAAGUGCUACAGAUAAGAAUUCUAAAGCUGGAUCAAAUGUCUAGGCUAGCCUUUGUAGGUUUUGAGGUUUUAUUUUGUGAAUUAUGUUGAAUCAUGAAUUUGAAAAGAAAUUAAUGGAAGCCUCAAUUUUUGGAU